CAGACAUAUUUUUUUAGAAGCAGAAGAAAUUAGACAUAUAUAUUAAUCAUCCAUUUCAACUAUUCUCUCUGUUUCUCUCUUCCUCGAAAAAUGAGAAAUCCAUCACAAUUAUCAUCUCCUCGACUCAAAACUCAAAAGCCAGACCCAUUUAAUUGAAGGUGGUAGGCAUUUUUGAUUCACAAAUUGCUAACAUGUUGCAGAUUCGAUUUGGAUGGUGAUCUUGAUCUUUAAGGGGCGUGUCUGGUUCCAUAACCAGACCGGAACUGGAAUAACUGAAAACCCAAAAGUGACAAUUCCUAGAAUCGAAGACCGGACCGGUAUAAGGGAACUGAUUUUGGUUCCGGUUUGGCUUCGGGUUCGGGUCGGUUAUAUCAGUUUUGGAAUCGAUUAUGACUGAAAAGGCUUGUCUAAAUGAAAUGGAAUCGGAAAAACUGAAAAACCGGGACUUGUUAGUGCAUAAAAUGUGUAAAGGGGGUUGUUUGGUACUUUGAUUUAAAUGCAAGGGUUGUUUUUGUUAACAUCUCACUUUAGAUAUAUUACAAAUAAUACUAGUAUUAUUUUGAAAAUAAUUUUUCUUGAGAUUUAGUUGAAAAUAAGAUGUUAGUUAAAUUUAACAAUUUGAUUAUUAUUGGUGUAUGCAACAACACAUUUCGUGAAACGGAAAGGGGUUGACAUGCUCUUGGUUUUGUGAGUACUUAAAACUUUAAAUGGAAAUAUAUCUUCAUGCAUGAAACAAAACAUCACGGGAAUUUAAGAGUUGGCGUGUUUCAAUGUCAAUAAAACAAAAGGUUUUCAUGACAUGGGGAUGACCAAUGAAGAUGCAUAUAUGUUGGCUCCGAAUAUUGAACACAACAUACCACCUCUUAUAAUAUAUAAGUUUGUUUUGUACGAAAAAUAAAGGGGAGAUAAUCGAUGUGUUCCUCCAAUGUACCAAACACACAGGGGGGAGGUAGUCAGUAUUUUCUCCAAUGAACGAAAUACAAGGGAAAACUAGUCACUAUGUUCCUACAAUAUAACAAACACAACUAUUUACAAUGAAUCCAACUAUUAUGUACGAAACAGAAAUGGAAGUUAGUCAUUAUAUUCCUCCAAAGUACAAAGUAAAGGGGAAAGAACGAAGCUAUAUGCAAGGAUGCUUCUGAAGAUGAAUAGGCAAAAUUGUUAUUGUUACUAAAUGAUUUAAAACUAGAACCUCAUCGGGUGUUAGUGGAACAAUUUGACAGUUUCUAUGGUCUAAAAAAGGUUAACUAUGAGUACUAUGAAUAUAGGAUAAAAAGGUGGCACUAUAUGAGAUACUUUUUUUGGGGUGUGUCCCCCUGAAAAUCAAUGACAUACCCCAUGUACAUCAAAACACCAUCAGUCGACUACAAACCAACAUCAUAUAUCCGAAAUAUAUUGUUCAACAACAAAGAAGAUCUAAAUCUAUAUGUAUGAAUGUGUUUAGGAGGGAUUUGACAUUAGAAAUAUGAAAUCUGAAAAAUACAAGUAUGUGGCUAAAUGUCGUGAUAAAUGUACUUGGUGGAUCUGGACUACAUGAGCUAAAAUGUUAAUUUGUUCCAAGUUCAAAUAUUUAUGGACGAACACACAUGUAUAAAAAACCAAAUACAUCUCAACCAUUGUCAAGUGAGGAAAAGAAAAGUUUUGGGUCAUUUGUUAGAAAAGGUAAGGGUACGAUUAAUAGUAAGAAUAAGGUAUAUUAUUGAAACGAUAUAUGUUGAGAUAUCAAUUUUCGAUACAAAAUAAGCAUUUCUGCUCUCAAUCCGAAGAAGGUGAAUGAAGACGCCAUAACACACAUAAAUAUUGACGAGCACGCUCAGAGCUCUUCUUUUCUGCCAUCGAUUAUGUAGUAAGAUUUAGCUUCAUAACGAUAUAUGUUUAUCAUAUUAAAGUUUUUUAACAAUUAACACAUCCAGUUUAUAACUUUGGAUGUUUACGACAAGCUUACAAUGAUUAAUCUUCAUACAUGUUUUCCACUUUAAACGAAAAUGUUUGGGAACCAUGUUUCUUGCGGUAUUCGUAAAAGGACAAAAUCAAAUAUUGCGCCUACCUAUGGAAUGGGCAAGACAAAAAGUGGUGAUACAUUGACAUGUUUUUUUGUUUUUAGUAAAAUACAACUCCAAAAAUUGUACGAAAAAAAAACAAAACCGUAAAAAUUAUUGAUUGACGUCUGUAUUUAACAUAGUUUCCUUAAAACAAAUUCGUCAUAUAUAGGUGUUUGUUUCCUAAGAUACAACAGUAGAAAGCAAUUCUUCUAGAUUGUCCAAACUCUCACUUGGCUUGGACUAUACUUUGGUUGUAGCAAGAGAGGAAAGAUGUAGCAAGAGAGGAAAGAUGAAGCAGAAACGUAAGAUAUGAAAAGAGUGAUUUUGUUGCAUUUGGUGUAUCGAAUCAGUCAUAUAGGCGUUGUAUAUAUACUACCCAAUGUAAUUAAAACGAAAUCAUAACUGCCAUAAUUAAAUAAGAAAAAAAAGGAAAAAAUGCAAAAAAAACACACACACUAGUUCAGUGGCCCGAAGCCAAUUUGGCU